rnacentral:rRNA from 1 species
AUUGAACGCUGGCGGCAGGCCUAACACAUGCAAGUCGAGCGAGCGGCGGACGGGUGAGUAAUGUCUGGGAAACUGCCUGCUGGAGGGGGAUAACUCCUGGAAACGGUAGCUAAUACCGCAUACCAUCAGAUGUGCCCAGAUGGGGUUAGCUGGUAGGUGGGGUAACGGCUCACCUAGGCGACGAUCCCUCGCUGGUCUGAGAGGAUGACCAGCCACACUGGAACUGAGACACGGGCCAGACUCCGACGGGAGGCAGCAGUGGGGAAUAUUGCACAAUGGGCGCAAGCCUGAUGCAGCCAUGCCGCGUGUGUGAAGAAGGCCUUCGGGUUGUAAAGCACUUUCAGCGGGGAGGCGUUACCCGCAGAAGAAGCACCGGCUAACUCCGUGCCAGCAGCCGCGGUAAUAC